AUCCCAUGGUGAUGGCAUUUUUGUAACAAUUCUUUGAAUAUCUCCCAUGCCUCAUACAAGGAUUCAUCAUCCAAUUGUUGAAAUUAGUGAUCUCAUUUCAAAACUU
rnacentral:snoRNA from 1 species